ACUUGCAAUGUACUUAAUGAUCAAUAACAAAUUUUACAGCUCCUGAGGUUACACCUCAAGUUCUGCAAAACAUUAAAAGCAUAAUAUUCCAAAACCAGCCUUGUCUUAAGUACAGAGCUACAUUUAUAACAUAGAAAAUCUAGCAGUAGGUCAUUAUUUCACUUCACUUGUAAUAUUUGAAAUUAGGGGUAUCUAAAAACAAAUCACAACUUUGUUCUUCAUCACACAAUGCUUUAAGUAUUGAAUAGCAAUUUAAAUUCAAUAGGUUAUCAUUAAGGACAUGCCUGUUUCAAGAAUUUUUGUGAUUAGAACAACCAGACAUUUUCCUCUGGUGUCUGGAUUUUGUCUUAAAGUUAGCACAAGGUACAAAAUCCAAGAAGUAAUGUUGAUAUCUCUUAAGAUAGUGGAUACGCAGGAAAUAUACGUACAGGAAUAUUUUUGAAGAAAGUAAUUCAUUUGGGAAGAACAGGAUUCACAACUGUUGCCCAGCAAAAUUAAAAGUUAUAGAAAUGUCAAUAACAUCCAAUUAAUUUUGAAUGUGGAAGUUAGGAACAGGAGGGGGUCAAUAAUGCUACUGUUUUUUUUAAAAGACCGCCCAAUAGUAACAGGGACAUCAAGGGGCAGAUAGGGAGACAGACUCUGGAAAGGUACUGUCAUGGUGGGAGAUUUUAAUUUCCCCAGUAUUAUUUGGCAUCUCCCUAGAGCAAGGGGUCAGAUGGGAUGGACUUUUUUAGGUUGGUUCAGGAAGGUUUCCUGACACAAUAUGUAGAUACACCUACAAGACGAUAGGCUAUACUUGAUCUGGUAUUGGGAAAUUAACCUAGUCAUGUGUCAGAUCUCUCAGUGGGAGAGCAUUUUUGAGAAAGUGAUCACAGUUCUAUCUCUGUUACCAUAGCUUUGGAGAGAGAUAGGAACAGACAAGUUAGGAAAGUGUUUAAUUGGAGUAAGGGAAAAUAUGAAGCUAUCAAGCAGGAGCUUGAAAGUAUAAAUUGGGAACAGAUGUUCUCAGGGAACUGUACCGCAGAAAUGUGGCAAAUGUUCAGUGGAUAUCUGCGUGGUGUUUUGCAUAGAUUGCAAGUAUUUCCAGCCGUCUUGAUCCAGCAUCAAUAUUUAACAAGAUCAAAGAAUGGAGUGGUUCCAAAAAUAUUGAAAGAUGUUUAUUUGUGCUUUCAAAGCUUCAAAUCUCAAGCUUCAGCAACAAAAGCCUGAGGUCCUCAAAAUCCUACACACGAUGGAAUGAUAUAAGCGUGAUGAUACAUACCAGUUAUCGAAUUCAUUCUAAACGAACUUCAGCUUGGUUUGGCGGGCUCUCAUUGUAGAUCCAAGGCAUUUGCAGCUUCUGUCCACUUUGGGGCUUACAAUGUGCAUAAACAAGCAGAGUGCGUGUUCCACUCAGUUUUAAUUAGAGAGAUGAAGAGGGAAGUCAUUUGUUCGGGGUGGACUGUGAGCAACGUUUGGAAGGUGGUGUGUGCUUUCAUGUGGACCGAGGGCCCAGUCCCAUCAACUUUGAAAAUGCUCCAAAAAUUAAACUGAGGUUUUCCUUCGACUGAUUGCAGAAAUCCACACAGAUCCAAUUGACGCAAUGCAGGAAUGAAUCCUCUCUGGUCUUGGGCAUGCAAGAUAUUUAUCUAUUGGCUCCAAAGAUCCAAGGAUCAGCUGUAUAAUAAAUCAAAAAUUCUCCAGGAAAUAAACUAAUAUCACUAUUAAAUCAUUCUUUGUCCUCUGAAGACAGAUUUGCUUCCAUCCACUGCUGCCUUGACUUGGCAAAUCUGAAAUGCUGUCUCUUGCAAAGCUUUUCUAUAAUUGGCCAAUAUUACGGGGAGAUUAAAGUAACAGAAAUUACUACAUCUAUAGACAGAACAUAAGAGUUAGCAGCUCAGGUCAAAGACCAUUCAUUAGAGUUCUAGCAUCUGCAGUUCUCUGAUUUUCAUUACUGGUCAGAAAUGAGGUUGGAUAGGUAUGACUCGAUGACAACUCAAGUGUUGCAAAAUUCCAUUUCAGGAAAUAACCUUGAUUUGUUCUGUUAAUAACUUGAUUAAAACGCACUAAUAACAGCAUUUAAAAUACUGUUGUCAUGCAAUGGACUUGUAACUCAGAAAUAUCAGCAUUUAAUGUUACUGUAGGGCAUUUUGGCAAUGUACGUAGGGCUGUCAUAGUGCUGAUUCAUCUUGAUGGAAGUCUCCAUUACCUGGUAUAAUAUUUAUAAAUAAUCCUUGGCUGAAAUCAAACACAAAGGACCCAAGGAGUGCACAUUUAAGUCCAUUACUUGACAUAUAAAUCCUCGAUCCUUAAUUUGUUGUGUACAUCUACUGCAUAAAUUUUGAUUUUUUAAAAAAUAUGGAUUUCUUUGUGGCUCUAAAACAAUCUUGCUGUGUCAUUGUACGGUUCCAUCUGUAUCCUUCAUGACUGUGCUCUAUGCUCUAACCUUAAAUAUGGCUGAAUCUUGGAUAACCAUUAUGAAAGAAGUGCAAAUGUAAUAGUAUGUUUUGAAUUUCAUUUAGAGUGGAUUGGCCUAGUAUUAGCCAGUAACUCCAUCAAUCUGGGGGAGAUGUGGAACCCGAGUCACUGACCUCAGGUUGGUCUAAAUAAAUAUUGUUGAUGAGGUUGAGAGCUUCAAGCUCCAAGGCAUGAACGUCACCAAUAGCCUGUCUUGUUCCAAUCAUGUUGAUUUCAUGGUCAAGAAAGCUCUCCAAUGACCAUCUCCUCAGGAGGCUAAAGAAAUUUAGAAUGUCCCUUACUCAUUUUUAAUUGAUACAUUAUCUAUAAUGUAAUAUCCAUUCUAUAUGGAUGCUGAGUAGGCCUGGCAUGGCAACUGCUCAGUAUGUGAAGGCAGAACAGGUACAGAGCAGACGGUAUACCAAGCCUAAUUCAUCAGAGAAACCAUGCUUCCCAUUAUACACCCUGUCUAUACUUGUCGCCACCACAGAAAAGCAACUAGCAUAACGAAGGGCCUCACACACCUUGGACAUACUCUCUUCUCCCUUCUCCCAUCAGGCAGAAGAUAUAAAAAGCCUGAAACCGCGGACCACCAGGCUCAAGGACAGCUUUGAUCCUACUGUUAUCAGGCUCUUGAAUUAAUCUCUUGUCCAAUAAGAAGGACUUUUCCCUGAACAAUCUAUCUCGUUAUGACCUUGCACUUUAUUGUUUAACUGUUUAACACCUCAUUCUGCAAUGUAAUUGUUUACCUUCUUCCCUCUCAAUGCACUGUAUAAUGAUUUGAUCUAUGAACAGUAUGCAAGACAAGCUUUUCACUGUAUCAUGGAAUAAGUGACAAUAAUACUAAUAAACUAAACCCAGUUUUUAAAA